rnacentral:rRNA from 1 species
ACAUGCAGUCGAGGGAGAUUGUUGGAUUCGUCUGACAUGAAACCGGCGCACGGGUGCGUAACACGUAUGCAACCUACCUUUAACUGGGGUAUAGCUCAGAGAAAUCUGAAUUAAUCCCCCAUAAGACUACGACAUGGCAUCAUGAUGUAGUUAAAGCUCCGGCGGUUAAGGAUGGGCAUGCGGUACAUUAGCUAGUUGGUGAGGUAAUGGCUCACCAAGGCUACGAUGUAUAGGGGGUCUGAGAGGAUGAUCCCCCACACUGGUACUGAGACACGGACCAGACUCCUACGGGAGGCAGCAGUAGGGAAUAUUGGUCAAUGGACGCAAGUCUGAACCAGCCAUGCCGCGUGAAGGAUGAAGGCCCUAUGGGUCGUAAACUUCUUUUAUUAGGGAAGAAAAAACGGGAUGCGUCCUGUACUGACGGUACUUAAUGAAUAAGGAUCGGCUAACUUCGUGCCAGCAGCCGCGGUAAGACGAAGGAUCCAAGCGUUGUCCGGAUUUACUGGGUUUAAAGGGUGCGUAGGCGGAAAAUUAAGUCAGUGGUGAAAGCCCGCAGCUCAACUGUGGAACUGCCAUUGAAACUGGUUUUCUUGAAUAUAGCUGAGGCAGAUGGAAUAUAACAUGUAGCGGUGAAAUGCUUAGAUAUGUUAUAGAACACCGAUUGCGAAGGCAGUCUGCUAAACUAUUAUUGACGCUGAGG